CAAGUCUCCAACCAAGCCGGAAAAAUUCGACCCUCUUGAAGAUGGAAGAGGAUGCUGCAAUCUUUUCGUGCACCACUCGUAGUUGAAGCUGCCAGCAUGAUCUGAUCUUUCCUUCACCUUCAAGGCUAGAUCAGAUCAUGCGGUAGUUUCACCUACUGAUGGGAGCAUGAGGAUACCCUCUUUAGCUCUUUCUUUUUUUAUCUUUUUGGGUUUUUGGUGAAUAAAAUGAGCACGCUUUAUUCCCAUAUACCCUAAUUGAAUAGUUCCUUGGGGGAAUUUCAUGAACUCCUUCAAAAGCUUUAUAAUGGCGUGUGAGAACAUCAUGGUAGGGUAAACCUAAGCCGCAUGCAGCAGAAGAGAAUAGGACCGGACGCAACAAAUUCAAUUUGUCUUAUUGGGAACUUAGGAAUAAAGCUGCAAUGACGUAAAGAGCAAGUGAUGCCCUUUUGCUUAUGGUUCCAAUCACCAGCAUAUUCUGGGAAACUGAAACAUUGGAGUGAUCAAAAUUCUUCAACGUUUAUCUCUAAAGAAAAAUUCCUUGGCCUUAUGUGGAAAAGAAGAUGUGUGUAGAAUGCAGGCAGGCCUUUGCAGCUUUCAGAAAAUGGACCACAAAAUUGACUUUUUUAAAUUAUGCUGUUACAUUGGGUUUUACGCAAGAACAGUUGGCAAGGGGGGAAAGUAACAGUUAUGAGCAGUACAUAUAUCACAGUGGAUUGAGUUUAAUUUUACUUUUUUGGCUCUGUAUAGGUUUUGUUUUGACUUUCUUUUGUUUUUUCAACAAAUUAUGUGUGGGAAACUCAUACACUAUAUACCAACUUGUCUUAAGAA